UUUGUGUUAAGACCCUGGCAAGUGUAGCAGAUCGUUUUCAAGUAAUAUAAUUGGUAAACCCAAUAUCGUUCUCCCCAAAGGACUCAAAGGCCUAAUCUUUCGUGUAACCUAAUUGCUUAAGACUUGAGAAAAGAAUUAAGUUUAAGUUUUGAAUGCAAAGAACAAAAACUAAACAUGCAGAUGCAAGUGAUUCAAUUGGCAAGGAAAAACUAUGAAUGAAUUUAGUUGUUGGGG
rnacentral:lncRNA from 1 species